AUUGAACGCUGGCGGCAGGCUUAACACAUGCAAGUCGAGCGGAGAGAAGUAGCUUGCUACUGAUCUUAGCGGCGGACGGGUGAGUAAUGCUUAGGAAUCUGCCUAUUAGUGGGGGACAACAUUUCGAAAGGAAUGCUAAUACCGCAUACGUCCUACGGGAGAAAGCAGGGGAUCUGCGGACCUUGCGCUAAUAGAUGAGCUUAGGUCGGAUUAGCUAGUUGGUGGGGUAAAGGACUACCAAGGCGACGAUCUGUAGCGGGUCUGAGAGGAUGAUCCGCCACACUGGGACUGAGACACGGCCCAGACUCCUACGGGAGGCAGCAGUGGGGAAUAUUGGACAAUGGGCGGAAGCCUGAUCCAGCCAUGCCGCGUGUGUGAAGAAGGCCUUAUGGUUGUAAAGCACUUUAAGCGAGGAGGAGGCUACUUUAGCUAAUACCUAGAGAUAGUGGACGUUACUCGCAGAAUAAGCACCGGCUAACUCUGUGCCAGCCGCCGCCGUAAAAC
rnacentral:rRNA from 1 species